rnacentral:rRNA from 1 species
GUUAAGUCUGUGCGCGGAGGUGCGGGAAGAGAGAGGGUGCGGGCGUUAGGCGGAUUGCCUGGGCGUAAAGCGUGGGUAGGCGGCUUUUUAAGUCGGAUGUGAAAUCCCCGAGCUUAACUUGGGAAUUGCAUUCGAUACUGGGAAGCUAGAGUAUGGGAGAGGAUGGUAGAAUUCCAGGUGUAGCGGUGAAAUGCGUAGAGAUCUGGAGGAAUACCGAUGGCGAAGGCAGCCAUCUGGCCUAAUACUGACGCUGAGGUACGAAAGCAUGGGGAGCAAACAGGAUUAGAUACCCCGGUAGUC